AGGUGAAUCCCCAGAAAGCUAAGCUUUUUGCUUAGCUUUCUUCAUCUGCAAAAUGGGAGUAACAAAACCACCUCCCUGGUUUGGGAUGGAAAUUUACUGAGAUAAUAAAUGCAAGUCAGAGCCUGGCAAAAAGGCCUGCUCAUCAUGGCCAGCCUCUGGUGACAGUUUAGAUUCUAAUCAGCAAUAAUAAUGACAGCAAAAUAGCCAUGAUGAGCCAUGGUUUUGUCAGAGGAGUCCCACCACUCUGAGAAUUCUGCUUCUGACCAGGUUUCCACCCAGUGGGCUGGUGGCAGGUGUGUGGGGGUCGGGGUGGCGUCAUGGAAUCCAGAUCUAAUUUCUUGUGCUGAUUUGGAGGGUUCUGCAUGGUGUAUGUUUCUGUCUAUGCUACCUUGGGGGCUGCUGGCUUGUCCCAUCUCUUCGAAGAGUGAGUCUGGGGGUGUAUAUAAUACUGCAAGGGGUUUGUGGCUCCACAGAGAGAUCAAUGAUGGGGGAGGAUGAUACAGGACAGAGAGCUUUUUGCUAAGAGGUAGACCAGGUAGGAGCUAGAACAUGGGCUGAGGGGUGGUUCUGGUUUUGUGCCCUGUUAGGUGUCUGAGACCCAACCUGGUCUCAGAGGGGCCCAGUGUAUGUAGCUCCCAGGGCAGGGCCUGACAACAGAGCUAGUGGGGCUAAAGAUGACCUUGGCCGGGGAUGGGCCAAACCUUUAACUGAUAGGUCACAGAUCCAGUGCAGUGUGAAGGGGCUUGUCCAAGGCCAUGGCUGCUGGUAAGCACAGGCUUAGGGUACACAUAGCAGAGUGCCAGCCAGCUUGGUGAAUUAAUCGCAACAUGUACAAAUCAGGUGAUUGUAGGCAUUUUGAGAAAAAUCUGUGGUUGGGGUCUUCUCUAGGGAAAAAUCAGGUCUGCUGAAACUGAGAUUUUUCCUGAGAUGUCAAAAAUAGCCAAAUGGAAUCGCGUUGUGGCUGUUUCCUUUAGCCUGAGUGGGUUCUACCUAGUAAGGUAAGCUCCUGCCGCUCAGUCACUGUGCUGGUCAAACCCAGCCCAUCUGGGUAUUUGUGAUACAUGUUGUAAAAAAUAAAUAAGUAAAUAAAUAAAAUAAUAUUUUAGAAGAAGGGAAUGACAUUGGUUCUUUCUCUCAUUUCCUUUUCUGGCAGUGUUCAUUUUCUGGCCUGUGUAUCCCAACACAUGGCAGCUGCUGUUCUGGAAUAAGUGUUGAAUAAAUACAUUUGCAUUAAAUGAAUGAAGGAAUGAAUGAACUGUAAUUGAUACACUGACUUGAGAGCAGAAGCCAAGUUCAAAUCCUGACUGCCUCCUAAGUGCUGAGUGACUUUGAACAAAUCGUAUCAUCUCUUUCUUUCUUUCUUUUUUUUAGGGGGAUAGGUGGAGAGGAGAACCAUUGUGGAUUUUAUAUAAAUUUAAGCAGUGCAACUUCACAUUUCAUUAUUAAGAAAGUACAAAAAGGCUUCCAGGGAAGUCUUCUCCUUCCUAUCCCUUCCGGCCACUUCUGGCCUAGGGAAAACCAGGGUUACCCCUAUCUGGUUCAUCUUUCCAGAGCUGCUUUAUAUACAUGCAGUGAAAUACAUAAAGGCUCUGGUUUAUCCAUUUGACGUAGAUGGUGACAUAGAUGGUGACGGUUCUUUGUUUAGUGCAACUCUGGGAAGCAUCCUGGGCAGUGUGUAAGAGCUUUCUUCUGUUUUAGAGCUGCAUAGUGUUCCAGGGUGUAGGCUGUCGUGGGGCACACAGCCAGCCUUCUGUUAGGGGACAUUUAGGUUGUUUCCAGCCCAUGGCUUGUGUGAGGAAGGCUGGAGUAAAAACCCUCAUUCCACAAGUCACUUGACAUGCUGGAGUGAGAUUCCUGGAAGUAGAGCUGCUUGGUCAGUGGGCACGACCUUUGUCAUUUCAGGAACUCCAUUUUGGUCCAGUUUCCCUCUGUGACGUUCACCCCACACGGCUCUACCUCAGCAGCGUGUACGAGUGCCCAUGUCCUCUCCACCUGGUCACGUGCCAGUUCUUGGAGGCUGGGAGGGCUUUAUGAAGAACAUAGUGUUAAUUAAAAAUACUAACACUAGCUACAACUUUCCAGGUUCCUACUCUGAGUCUUGCCGUGAUCUUAAGUUAUCCCAUUGUUAUCCUUAAAAACACUGAGAUCACUAUUACACCCAUUUGGCAGGCAAGGAAAGGGAAAUUUAGAGCAUAUGAGUAACUUAUCCAAGUGCCCAGGUAGUAAAUUGUGGAAGUGGGAUUUGAACCAGAGUUGGUCAGAUUUCAAUACCGUGAUGUUCACAGAUG
rnacentral:lncRNA from 1 species